rnacentral:lncRNA from 1 species
GAUGGACUCCCGCAGCUGCAACGAGAACAGCAACAGCAGUGGCCUAAUGUCCAGUCAGGCCUUCCGUUAGCAGACUAAUGGGUCUUUUCUGCUGAAAUCCCCUUAAUUCUUACUGUUUGUCCUCCCAUCAGGGUUUAAGCUGAAUCAGACAUUCUGUGAAGCUAAGUUCUUCUCUCUAGUUCCAAAACUUAGCCCUUGAGUUCAGAUCGGCCAUGUUGGAGCAACUGUGGCUGCCAAAGGGAAAUUUCACAGCAUCAAUACCACGAAGCAUCCUUUGGUAGAGUGGAGAUGGAGCAUGAUGAAGUUAGAUGAAUUCGUGGUGCUGCGUGCUCUGCGGAAGAAUUGAGCACGCCAUGUUGCUGCAGUCUGACACUGCCUAACUGCAUGGGAGACAAGCUGACACUGGGCAAAACUGUGAAUGACUGAAUGAACCUUGAGUGUAUUUACCAAAGUAGGUGAAACAGGAGGAAGACAAACGACUGAGUUGAAGUAACUGUGAAACUCCGGUGACAAUUUUCAGUAAAAUUUCUGAAGAAGUACUUGAAUUUUUUUUCUUGGAUAGCAGCCCUACUACACACCAGAGACUUGAAGCUACAAACCUUUGUUUUCCUCAGGUUCUUUCAAGCAUUAACAUUCUGAUGCCAUAUUCUUAUGACAAAGACUAAUAAGAAGGGAAAAUGGCACACCCUGGAUCUAUUUUAGCGAUAAAGAUAAGAGUGGGAAAUGGUAAAAAUCUCCCUUGUUCUCAUUAUGACAGCGCUAAAACCGCCAUCAAUUAUAAUCACUCACCACAUCCCUAACGGGGGACUUCAUUGGCAACAUCUCUUCUACACAAACUAGGUCUCCUGUAAUCCGCAAAUUGCUGUUGGGUCUAUGAUGUUCUAGAUUUGGAAAGUCAGACACUUACAGUCAUGCUGGAGAAGAAAACGUGAACAUAUAAAAAAGUCCUGUGGCUCAAGAUGAUACGUUAUAUGAUGAAGAGGCAAGAAAACAGUAUACAGAAGGUGCAAUUAGCAUUCAGUGGCAAUAGAGAUCCCUACAGAACUGGUGUUUUUGAGGAUGGCUUCCUAAAAAACAUUUCCUUUAAUCUAUUGCUACAUAAUAACCACCCCAAAAUGUGGUGGCUUAAAAAAAGCAACAACUUUUUAUUUGUCUUCAUGGUAUCCUCUGGGCUGGGCUCGGCUGUCUUCUGCUUCACCUGGUGUCUGUGGGUUAUGGAAUGUGCAAAACGGCUUCUUUGCUCCAAUGCCUGGCACCUCAUCUUGAUGGACAGAACAGGUGGGAGCUGACUGGGUAUCUUUCUCCACGAGGUCUCCCCACUAGAGUAGCAGAACUUCUUUGCGUGGUGGCUGGAGGCUCCAAGAAAGAGCAUUUCAAGAAUGCCAUGGAAAACUUGCUAAUGUUCCAUUGGCCAAAGCGAGUCACUGAGGGAGGCAGUGAAUACUGGUGGCUAAUGAAUGCUUGGUUCACCAGAGGCCACCAAUCUAAACAAAGCAUUUGGAAGACCUGACUAUACACGGGGUGUGAGGAAAGAAGAGAAGUCACAUAUGGAGAAUUUGAGCUUGAAUGAUUAGAAAAAUCGAGGAAGGACCGUUCAUUAGAAGAGCAGAAGUUAUACGGAAGGACCAGUUUCAGACAUGGUAAGUUUGAGAAGAUGAAAAUGUCUGCUAGGCAGACAGAGAAAAUUUAUUGGAAUAAAGACAUUAGCUGAGGGCUGAAGUUCUAAACUCUGGAGUCAUAUGCAGAAAACAGGUAGUUAAAGCUGUGUGACUGGAUGGGUUCUGAGAAAGAUAGAAACUGGAUCAAUGAACUUUGAGCUAGGCUUAUAGUUAGAAGUUGGAAGGAGGAAGAGGAGCCAGAUUGGGAGAUAAAGAUACUGUAUAUUCCUCUCACAUUUUGUGACACUGUUAGAAUUUUUAUAUUUCUAGUUGAAUUCGACUCUCAUUUGUAUGCAUCUGAGAGUAAAAUUUAAUUGAGAAAUAAUUUAGCUUUAUUUUAGCGACUUUUACUGUGGAACACCUCCAGUGCCUUAGGUUGCUGACUUAAAAAUAUGCAUUUAUUAAUAAUAGCUAAUAUCUUUGGAACUUCCUCAUGGUUCUCAAGUAGGUGGAAUAAAUGUAUGAAAACUAAAGUUAAUGAUACAGCACGACAGAAUUAAGUUUUUAUUAAUUAAUUUUAUUAAUUAAGCUUUGUUAAUCUUUCCACCGUCCUGCUUUUGGAAAAUAACAAAUUGUAUAAAAGCUUCAUUUCGGUAAUGAAUUAAUUUUCUUCUUAUAAAAUGAACUUGAUAUUGAGGCUAGAUCAAUGGGCAGGAUUUUUAAAAUAUGGUACAGAAAUAUUUUCUCGGUAUCCACUGACAAAGUCAAGCCAAUUUUCAGAGGCUAUUAAGAGUUUUCUAAGAAUGCGUUGCACACAUAAUGAGAAGUGUUGGCUGAGGAACUGUGUUCAGAAACUCCCUGGGGAACUGUAAGCACUGUCUCCUCUCGCUGAGCCACCCAGGCAGGCCGUAGGCCGUCUAGACGGUGACCAAGCCGUCAGACCCAGACACUGUGGGCGGGCCUGGAGCCCCCUCGCUCUGCAGCCAGAGGGGCUGAGAUACGCCACAGAAACCAUUUGGAAUGUAUUCUUUUUACUCAGUCCUCUGCUUUUAGAGAAAAAUGUGGCGGCUAGGAGAAUUCGGUCAAGACUGAAAUUAAAUAUGUAUGCCUUGAAUUGUUCCAUGGUAUCACUGAUUUCCCCUUUCUCUCCCACUUUUAAAUCAUUUUGGAUUUAUUGUAUGGAAAACAACUGUACAUACUUGCUUAUCUGCAAGAAUAUAAUGAGAAUGAUAUAAAAUGUGGUUGUAACUUUAAUAUGUAUUGUGUAACAAUUUUAUUAUGUGUGUUAGUUGGUUCCCUCCCCUUUUUAAAAUGUUCAUGGUAAUAGAGAUGUGUGUUGUAUAGGCUGUGUCUUCCCUAAUGUGCUACACUGUGAUCUAAUAAGAAUAGGUAACAUUCACUGAGUUCCCGCUACGUCCUCGGCCACCUUGAUCCUCACAGCAGCCUGAUGAGUUCGGUGCUAUGAUUCUUAAUUUGCAGAAUAGAAAACUGAGACGUGGAGAGGUUCCUGCCCGAGGAAACACAGCUAGUAAGAGGCAGUGCAGGAUUCAAACAUGUAUCUCUGAAUUUACAUCUGGAGCUUUUAACUGCUUUCCAGGCGCCAGACAUUGUAUGAUCUUUCUCUUACUGUGUUGCAAUUCAUUUAUUUUGUACCUUUAAAAAUCUUGAACUGUGAAACUGAGGACAAAUUGGCCAAUGAAAAAAGGGCGCUUGUCUAUAAUCGUAUUUUCUUGCUGUUGGCUCACUAUUUCGUGAAGGGCCACAUCUGUAAUCAGGUUAGUAAUAAUAAAUACACAGUGCUUGCUAUAUGUCAGUAUUGUUUGAAGCAUAUUUUGUGUUUUAGCUCAUUUAAUCCUCAAAACAACCCUUUGAGAUAGGCAUUCUUUUACAGAUAAGAAAACUGAACACAGAGAGGUUAUGUAACGUGCCCAGGUCACACAGCUAUUAAGUGGCAAAGUCAGGGUUCAGACUCAGGGAAUCUAGCCUCAGAGUCCACAUAUUUAACCACUACAUGUACUGCUGCUCUAGUUUUAAUUUGUUUUCUUAAAAGCUACAUCUUUUUUACAUAAUAAUUUUGAUGGCAACAAAUUAAACAAUCAAAAUUAGUUUUGCCCAUACAAAGGCUGAGAUAUAUUUCAU